rnacentral:rRNA from 1 species
GAUGAACGCUGGCGGCGUGCCUAAUACAUGCAAGUCGAGCGAAUGGAUUAAGAGCUUGCUCUUAUGAAGUUAGCGGCGGACGGGUGAGUAACACGUGGGUAACCUGCCCAUAAGACUGGGAUAACUCCGGGAAACCGGGGCUAAUACCGGAUAACAUUUUGAACCGCAUGGUUCGGAAUUGAAAGGCGGCUUCGGCUGUCACUUAUGGAUGGACCCGCGUCGCAUUAGCUAGUUGGGGAGGUAACGGCUCACCAAGGCAACGAUGCGUAGCCGAACUGAGAGGGUGAUCGGCCAGACUGGGACUUAGACACGGCCCAGACUCCUACGGGAGGCAGCAGUAGGGAAUCUUCCGCAGUGGACGAAAGUCUGACGGAGCAACGCCGCGUGAGUGAUGAAGGCUUUCGGGUCGUAAAACUCUGUUGUUAGGGAAGAACAAGUGCUAGUUGAAUAAGCUGGCACCUUGACGGUACCUAACCAGAAAGCCACGGCUAACUACGUGCCAGCCGCCGCAGUAA